rnacentral:lncRNA from 1 species
CGGCCCGGGCCGUCGCCGGAGAACGGCUGGCCAGCGUCGUGGGGCGCGCUCCUCGGGCGGAGGGACGAUGUGAGGGACGCCGCCGAGCCAGCGCCAGGGGAAGUUGGGGACGAAGGAAAGUAGAGGAAGCGCACAGGUGGCUGAGCAUACAAACUGAAGAAAAAAUUGAAAUGCCAUUUUAAAAACUUGAAAGGUUCCAGGACUACCUCAAAUGUAUUACGUCUCUAAUCAGUCUUUCUCCUUAAAAAUGCCUAUUAUUUCUUGGUGGACUGCAAAGAUUUCUGUUUUAAACCUGCCAGCUUUGAGAUCCUGCAUUUGAGAGCCAGCAUUGGCUGGAUACACCAUGCAAGUGAUAGAGCAUUUGGACCAGGAAGAGAAUUUGGAAGUAAAGGGAAUUGAUGUAGCACAGUGUUCAGUUUUAAGAGCUUCAUCUAGGUGAAGACUCAUAAGUAAUAUACAUAUGGUAUAGCCAAGGUCUUUUAUGAAGGAAAAGUAAUCACAGACAAAAAUUGUCAAAGAAGAAAAUGAAAAAAAGAUGUUGGAAGUGAAAAAAAAAAGG